rnacentral:misc_RNA from 1 species
GUGCGACAAGAAGUUCAGGAAGGGAUUGAGGUGAAAGUCCUCCUCCCGAAUCGUUCAUGGGAGAGUCUAUCCAGACUUGCGUAGCGAGUAAUCGCUAGGUGAGAAGCUCUGGAGACAAUGUACCUGCCCUUCAAUUGGAGGUGCCAGGGCUAGGCUUUGUUCCUAUGGCUAGCGAAAGCGAAUACAGGUUAUUAGGCGUCGUGAAAACAAAACUCUUUCGACAUAAGGGAGAGGCUCGUAGAUGAGUUACCCUCCUUUUUAUGGGGUAACUGAACGAUCAAUAUCUACCGGCGUAGACUGUGAGCCUAAAGGAAACGAAUGAAAGUGUCCCUUCCUGGGAACUUGGUAAGCCCAAUAGACUCCCUCUGGGAAACCAGAGGAGGAGUAAGAGCAAUCUUACUUAUCGUCUAGUGGGUAAAAGACAUAAUAGGAAGCAAAUGCUUGGUUGUAACGAUCGAGAUAGAAUCUGUUGAUUUAAGCUGAAAGGCUGCAGACUUAUUAAAUGGGUGUUCUGCUGUAUGGCGUUCGCGCCUAAGCAGCAGAAUGCGUGAGCCGUGUGCGAUGAAAGUCGCAAGCACGGUUCUGAUGGGGGGAAAACGAGAGAUCGUCUACCUAUCCAACUCAA